GAUGAAGAACGUAGCGAAAUGCGAUAAGUAAUGUGAAUUGCAGAAUUCAGUGAAUCAUCGAAUCUUUGAACGCACAUUGCGCCCGCCAGUAUUCUGGCGGGCAUGCCUGUUCGAGCGUCAUUACAACCCUCAGGCCUCCGGGCCUGGCGUUGGGGAUCGGCGGAGCCCCCCGUGGGCACACGCCGUCCCCCAAAUGCAGUGGCGGUCCCGCCGCAGCUUCCAUCGCGUAGUAGCUAACACCUCGCGACUGGAGAGCGGCGCGGCCACGCCGUAAAACACCCAACUCUUCUGAAGUUGACCUCGAAUCAGGUAGGAAUACCCGCUGAACUUAAGCAUAUCAAUAAGCGGAGGA
rnacentral:misc_RNA from 1 species